rnacentral:rRNA from 1 species
GAUGAACGCUGACAGAAUGCUUAACACAUGCAAGUCUUUGGCGAAGCUGUGCUUGCACAGCCUAGCCAAGGCGGACGGGUGAGUAACGCGUAAGGAACUUGCCCUGCAGUCAGGGAUAACAGACGGAAACGACUGAUAAGACCUGGUAAAGUCAGGCGGACUCAUUCCCAGCCUGAUGAAAAGAGAUGCUGCAGGAGAGCCUUGCGUCCUAUUAGCUUGUUGGUGGGGUAACGGCCCACCAAGGCGAUGAUAGGUAGCCGGCCUGAGAGGGUGGACGGCCACAAGGGGACUGAGAUACGGCCCUUACUCCUACGGGAGGCAGCAGUGGGGAAUAUUGGACAAUGGGGGCAACCCUGAUCCAGCAAUUCUGUGUGCACGAUGAAGGUUUUCGGAUUGUAAAGUGCUUUCAGCAGGGAAGAAAAAAAUGACGGUACCUGCAGAAGAAGCGACGGCUAAAUACGUG